rnacentral:lncRNA from 1 species
AUGCCAUUAAAGUGUAAUUACAUUUACUGUAAAUGGGAGCCUUGGCAAGUGUCUUCUAGGAGCCGAGCGCUCCUGGAGCCUGUGACACGGAAAACCCCAAACCGCCACCGCUGGCUGCGUUCAUGGUUAGAGUUCUUAUUGUGUGUUUUGUUAGGGAUUGUUCUUAGUGUCCAGGAGCCUUUCAGAGGUAUUAGAAGAACUCGUGUCACUCCAAAGGAGAGUGAGCACCGGGCUGUUCACUCUGGGUCUUCCCUGCACGCACGAGCUGUCCUUGAGGUUUCUACGGAUCAAGUGCUGUCACAGUCAAGUGUGGCAGCUGGACAGGACGCGUUUGAAAGAGUUCCAUGAUCAUACCCAGUGACUGCCUGGUUAUUCCAUACAGAUAGCGUGCCACACUUUUGGCUCUGAUUUGUAAGUUGUUAUUUUCCUUUUAUGAAAGACUGUUUCAAGAUAUGUGACUUAUAGAUAUAUAACCUAAAAUCAUGGUAUACAUGAAAGUACUUUUAAAAGUUUGUGGAAGUGGGGAAUUAAAGGUUAAGUUUAUUUGGGGGACAACUGUCUAGCCUGGCAGUUAAGACACCAGUUAAUGCCCCUGCACCCCACACUGGAGUACCUGGGUUAAUACUCGGGCUCUGACUCCUGAUGCCAGCUUCCUGCAAGGGGGCAUGCUGACGGGCAGCAGUAAUGGCUGAAGCGUUUGGGUUCCUGCCACCCACUGGGGGAUCUGGAUUGAGUUCCCAACUCUUGACUUUGGCCACCAGCCCUGGCUUUUGUGAUCAUCUGGGGAAAGAACCAGCAGGUGGAAACUCCCUGUCUAUCUCUGUUUCUAUUGUCUCUCCACUUCUCAAAUGCAUUUUUCAAAAAUUUAAAAAUAAAAAUAAGUUUUUUGAUGUAAAUUUUUUAAGU